GAAGGCGCUUCCCUUUAGAGCG
rnacentral:miRNA from 4 species